rnacentral:rRNA from 1 species
GAGUUUGAUCAUGGCUCAGAUUGAACGCUGGCGGCAUGCCUUACACAUGCAAGUCGAACGGCAGCAUGAUCUAGCUUGCUAGAUUGAUGGCGAGUGGCGAACGGGUGAGUAAUACAUCGGAACGUGCCCUGUAGUGGGGGAUAACUAGUCGAAAGAUUAGCUAAUACCGCAUACGACCUGAGGGUGAAAGUGGGGGACCGCAAGGCCUCAUGCUAUAGGAGCGGCCGAUGUCUGAUUAGCUAGUUGGUGGGGUAAAGGCCCACCAAGGCGACGAUCAGUAGCUGGUCUGAGAGGACGAUCAGCCACACUGGGACUGAGACACGGCCCAGACUCCUACGGGAGGCAGCAGUGGGGAAUUUUGGACAAUGGGCAAAAGCCUGAUCCAGCAAUGCCGCGUGUGUGAAGAAGGCCUCGGUUGUAAGU